UCAAAUUUUCAUCUAACAUCAGCCUCAGCCACUAAUGGUAUGAGGUGUGAACGCAAUUGUCGUCGUCUUUUCUCUUGGCCUCACAAGUAGUUGAUUCAAUAAUGCCCCGUAAAACAUUCACACAUAAAUAAAUAAUUAAACACCAACAGUAGUGUAAAACACAACUGAAACCAGAAAUAAAAGAAAGCAACGCGUGAUCAGCAUGCCACGUAGUAAUCAUAGGAGACUGGGAGUGGCCAUGGAUUUCUCGCCGUGCAGCGUCGCGGCGCUCAAAUGGGCGGUGGAAAAUUUUGCCAGAGAAGGAGACCAUAUCAUCCUCCUCAUCAUUCGCCCAGACGUUAACUACGAGCAUGGCGAGAUGCAGCUCUGGGAACUCACCGGAGCUCCUUACAUACCCCUAAACGAGUUCACUGAUGCUGAGGUCAUGAAGAAAUAUGGACUGAAGCCCACUCCCGAAGCAAUUGAAGUGUCCCAAAAAGCUGCAAAGGAUAAAAAAGUAGAGGUACUCAUGAAAAUCUUUUGGGGUGACCCUCGUGAAAAGAUUUGCCAAGCAGUCGAUUCAAUACCUUUAGAGGCUCUUUUCAUGGGAAAUAGAGGCCUUGGUCCCCUCCAAAGGGCCUUUAUGGGAAGUGUGAGUAAUUAUGUAGUGAAUCAUGCCACAUGUCCAGUCACUGUGGUGAAGAGUGACAAUCAAAAUAAAAGUUAAUUAUUUUCCUAAUUUGAUAUUAAUUGUAUAGGACAGAGAAUAAAUUUGUGCUACACAACCAAGUUUUGAUGCCUUUGGGCCUUGGUGGAUUGCAUAUGUAUAGUAUAUAUAAUAUGUUAUCAUGUGUCUAAGUUGAUACUCCUUAGGGCGUCCCUAUUGAAAGUUAGUUGCUCAAAACUCAAAAUGUUCUCAAACCGUGAUGAGUAAUAAAGGAAAAAGUGUCAAGAAUGUUAUUAUUUUUUGAAUUCUAAUAUUUCCUUCAUACUUAAGUUUGUCUAUAUGGCAUGUAAUAAAAAUUUUC